rnacentral:rRNA from 1 species
AUACGGAGGGGGCUAGCGUUGUUCGGAUUUACUGGGCGUAAAGCGCGCGUAGGCGGGCUGGUUAGUUGGGGGUGAAAUCCCAGGGCUUAACCCUGGAACUGCCCUCAAUACUGCCAGUCUUGAGUUCGAGAGAGGUAAGUGGAAUUCCUAGUGUAGAGGUGAAAUUCGUAGAUAUUAGGAAGAACACCAGUGGCGAAGGCGGCUUACUGGCUCGAUACUGACGCUGAGGCGCGAAAGCGUGGGGAGCAAACAGGAUUAGAUACCCGAGUAGUCC